AAUUGCUUGGGUUUUCCAGUCUAGCAGCACAAGGUGCCAGCUGUAUGAUGGAAUUUAAAGGAGGUGGAGUUCAGCAGCUUUAGUGUGAGCUGCCUGUGCUUCCUUUGCUGAAAUUCCCUCGGUUCUGAGUGUGCCACUGCCAGAUCUCCAGCACUGUGGAAACAUCUCGGGAAUGGAAAUAAAAGUGGCUUGAAGCCUUUCCCUCACAAGAUGGCAGCAUCACUUCAGGGAACAGCAUCACCUGCAGCAGGGACACCUGAAUAUUUCCAUUUCAUCCCGACAGAAACUCCAGUGCUGAGCUGAUUUGUGACUGAGCCUGCAGAGCAGCAGCAGGCGAGGGACAGGACGGGUUCCACCCAAAUGAUGGAUUGUGUUGAGAUGGUGCCAUUCUUGCUGGGACUCCAGCACCGAUCAUCGACUUCUGAAGGAAUUGGGUCAGGGUUGUGUCUGAUUCUACAAAUAGCCCUUAAAAUUUGGCCUUACCCAUUGGGAAUGAAGAGCUUGGGAACACAGGAAUCCUCACUGUUUUUUGGAUGAAGCUGAGCUUCCCAAGAAUAUAAAGACAUUUUGUUUGUGUUUUUUCCAUUUUUUAUUACCAUUUGGAUUUUGAUUUUACAGCAUGAGUUGUGAGCUGAAGAAUUACACUUUCUAAUUCAUAUGGCUGUUUUAUAACUUUCUUCAGAUAUUCCACCAACAAGACCAUUUUCAUUUUUAAAUCUGAACAGCAUUUUUCAUGACUGCCUGGAGAAAUGCUUCUUUUAUACUUACAGUAAUGAAGAUGUACUUUGCUAUCCUGGGUAGCAACUGCUUUAUUUCAAGGAAAUAUUGGCUGGUGUGCAAUAAUACUUCAAUAGGAAAAUAUUGAAAGUCUUGUAUUUUCAAUUUCUUAAAAGUCUUUAUGCUGAGCACAAAAAAAAAUAAAUAAAAUAUUUCUUUCCUUUUCUUUCA
rnacentral:lncRNA from 1 species